GCUUAAGCCCCAUUUGGAAUUACUGACUGGGAUACCCCUUAAUUUCCAGUGGCUUCAGUACCUGGAUGAAGGUAGGAACCUGUAACCUCUGUGGGAUCCUCGGAGAUUAUUCUCAAUAUCCCUGUACCUGCUAGUGGCAGCUAGCAUGGUACUUACCUGGAUGAAGAUCAGAGUUCUGCUUUCCUCUUUUUACCAUACUGUACCUGGAAUUCAGCUCUUGACUUAACUGUUAACUUUGCUUCCUGCUGCUUAGAGUAGAUCUGCCAGACGAUUCUACGUUUAAGGACAAUGAGAUUGUCCCUGGUGGAACGAUUACAAUGCGCAUCUGGAGACAAGAUGGCCGGGGACGUCUUGUGGCAGCUGCUGCAAAAGGAGAGACUGUGAAGGUCGAUUCUGUUACUUCUGUGAACAGGAGGUAAGAACGGGAGUCUGUACUCCUUCACAACAUGUGACUGCCAAAAUCACCGAGCAGGAAACAUUCCCCAUCUUCUCCGCUUUACCUGGUGCUAGUUGACGGACCAUCUUGAGUUUGUGAUCCUGUCAGAUUUAAUUGGAAACGGAUGUGCCACAAAGACAACAGUGGUGUUUGAAAUGGAAGAUGUAUUGCUACAAAAACUCUGCAAAAAGCUUGUGAGAGUGUUGAUUUUCAACUGGAUAUUGGCUUUUUGAAGAAAUAAUUCCGCAGCUGUUCUAGU
rnacentral:lncRNA from 1 species